CUAUACAAAGGUAUUGAAAUAAGACUUUAAUUGAGUGCUAAGAGAAUGGAAUUUCAUAAAAUUUCUUUUUUAAUUUUAAAAAUUGAAAUUAAUUUUAUAUGUGAAGAAACAAUAAUAAAAAUUAAGGACAAGAAGACCCUAAGAAUUUUAAAGAUUUCAAUAAAAUUUUGUAUUUUAUUGAAAUCUUUUAAUUGGGGCGAUUAUUAAAUAUUAAAAACUUUAAUUUUUUUAAAAAAGAACCAAUAAUAUUGGUUAUUUGAAAAAAUACUCUAGGGAUAACAGCGUAAUAAUUUUUGAUAGUUCUUAUAGACAAAAUAGUUUGCGACCUCGAUGUUGGAUUAGGAUUCUUUUUUAAUGAAGAAGUUAAAAAAAGAAGU
rnacentral:rRNA from 1 species